rnacentral:lncRNA from 1 species
GCUGCGCACUUCGGUCUUUUACGUCGGCCUUCGCGAGCGUCUGGGCGGGUGGUAGGUGAGUGGGUAUUGCGGGCUAGUAUCCGAGCAAAAGAUGGUGGCGCAGGCCGAGUUAAGAGCUUUAAUCCUGUGAAGACAUCUUAGUGAAGAGUUUAGAGUGCUGAGAGUUGAAAGCUUGCACGUGGGAAACGUGCGGCCGGACUGCCACAUGUACUGAGGUUGAGUCGUGACGGCCACAGGCUCCGAGUUUUGGCGUGAGGAACCGCUGAUCGGCCACGGGCGCCGAACUUGCUGGCCUCCGGCAUGUGCCUGAGCGGCGGCGGAAAAACCACCUUAAUUGGGGCGGAGGGUUAGUUUUAACAGCAAAGGGCCUUUACUAAAAUGGCGAAGGCCUUCCGUCGGCGUUGUUUUAAAAUGGGAAGCCUCGACCCUGUAUUGAAACUGAGCUGUUCGAAGGCGGCGUUGUGUGCAAUUCGGAUUAAUGAAGGGGAAGGGUUUUGUGUGGAAAAACGCCUUGGAGUGUGACAUUUCUGCGAGAAUGCUUAAAUACCGAUUUCCCGCAGGAACAAUGGCGCUGUCUUCAGUGGCACAGUGGAGCAGCUCUGAAGAUGCAAAGUGAGGGUCGCUGUCUGCCCAUUGAUAGAGGCCAGAUUGUCUUGGAAGUUCCAAAGUUGCAACGAUUUCUGGCUAGUGCCACGAGGUUUACUUGACUGUUGUGUGAAAAGCUGAUAAGAAAACCAUCCAGAAAAAAGCUCUUCGUUUUACAAACAUGAAAAUAAAACAUGUAAUUUUGGAUUAUGUUCCUUUUUGUUAUUACUUUUAAAUAGGUCCUGAAAUAACAUGGGGAGCAUUAAAUGGAAAAUCCACUAACCAG